rnacentral:rRNA from 1 species
UACGUAGGGUGCAAGCAUUAAUCGGAUUUAUUGGGCGUAAAGGGCGCGUAGGCGGGAAUAAAAGUCAGACGUGAAAUCCCGGGGCUCAACCCCGGAACAGCAUUUGAAACUCUAUUUCUAGAGGGUAGGCGGAGAAAACGGAAUUCCACAAGUAGCGGUGAAAUGCGUAGAUAUGUGGAAGAACACCAGUGGCGAAGGCGGUUUUCUAGCUUAUACCUGACGCUGAGGCGCGAAAGCAAGGGGAGCAAACAGG